CCUGGUUGAUCCUGCCAGUAGUCAUAUGCUUGUCUCAAAGAUUAAGCCAUGCAUGUCUCAGUGCAAGCCGCAUUAAGGUGAAACCGCGAAAGGCUCAUUAAAUCAGUUGUGGUUCCUUAGAUCGUACCCAAGUUACUUGGAUAACUGUGGUAAUUCUAGAGCUAAUACAUGCCGACAGAGUUCCGACCGUCGCGGCGCCCUCGGGCGUCGCUCGCGGGAGGAACGCUUUUAUUAGAUCAAAACCGGCCCGUCGCGGCGCGCUUCGUGCGCGUCCCGAUCGCGGCCCGCGCAAAGACCUGGUGACUCUGAAUAACUUCGAGCUGAUCGCACGGUCUCCGUACCGGCGACGCAUCUUUCAAAUGUCUGCCUUAUCAACUGUCGAUGGUAGGUUCCAUGCCUACCAUGGUGGUAACGGGUAACGGGGAAUCAGGGUUCGAUUCCGGAGAGGGAGCCUGAGAAACGGCUACCACAUCCAAGGAAGGCAGCAGGCGCGCAAAUUACCCACUCCCGGAACGGGGAGGUAGUGACGAAAAAUAACGAUACGGGACUCAUCCGAGGCCCCGUAAUCGGAAUGAGAACACUUUAAAACCUUUAAACGAGGAUCAAUUGGAGGGCAAGUCUGGUGCCAGCAGCCGCGGUAAUUCCAGCUCCAAUAGCGUAUAUUAAAGUUGUUGCGGUUAAAAAGCUCGUAGUCGGAUCUGUGUCUGGACGGUGCCGGACCACCCUGGCGGUCCGUCGUGUCGCGGCCGGCCGUGUCGCGGGACCACGUGUCCCGUCGGCGCGGUCGCCGUCGCGCUCGUCAGCCGUCUCGGGGUGUUAGUUACCGGCACGUCGGCCGGACGUAUUGUCGGCAGGCGGACACGUGUCUCGUGCUUCCGGCGCGCCGCGCGGCCACGCGUCGCGCGGCCGUCGGUGUUCGACGACGGCGGCCGCCUACUCCAAUCUUGCUGCGCGGUGCUCUUCACCGAGUGCCGUCGGCGGGCCGACACGUUUACUUUGAACAAAUUAGAGUGCUCAAAGCAGGCUCGAAUCUGGCGGGGCGGCUUCACGGCCGUCUCGUCAAAAGGCCCUGAAUACUGGUCGCAUGGAAUAAUGGAACAAGACCUCGGUCCCGCGCAUCUCCGCCCUUCGCGGGCGCGCGAAAUCGCCCUCCGGGGCGUUUCCGUGCGCGGGCCGCCGGGCCGCGGGCGCCAGUCGCCCGCGCGUCCCGCCGGGCCGGUUUUCGGGACCGGAGGUAAUGAUCAACAGAGACGGGCGGGGGCAUUCGUACCGAGACGUUAGAGGUGAAAUUCUUGGAUCGUCUCGA
rnacentral:rRNA from 1 species